UACGAAGGGGGCUAGCGUUGCUCGGAAUUACUGGGCGUAAAGGGAGCGUAGGCGGAUAGUUUAGUCAGAGGUGAAAGCCCAGGGCUCAACCUUGGAAUUGCCUUUGAUACUGGCUAUCUUGAGUACGGAAGAGGUAUGUGGAACUCCGAGUGUAGAGGUGAAAUUCGUAGAUAUUCGGAAGGACACCAGUGGCGAAGGCGACAUACUGGUCCGUUACUGACGCUGAGGCUCGAAAGCGUGGGGAGCAAACAGG
rnacentral:rRNA from 1 species